UCCUGGUUUCCCAGGCAGUCCCACCAGAGUGCACUACUAAAAGUAGUUAGCAACUGGCAGCAAGGGUUGCGCUCGUUAGAGGACUUAACCUAACAUCUCACGACACGAGCUGACGACAGCCAUGCAGCACCUGUGCUUCUGUCUAAACCGAAAUCUAGAAGAUCGUAUUUCUACGACUGUCAAAAGCAUGUCAAGCCUAGGUAAGGUUUCUCGCGUAUUGUCGAAUUAAACCACAUGUUCCACCGCUUGUGCGGACCCCCGUCAAUUCCUUUGAGUUUUAAUCUUGCGACCGUACUCCCCAGGCGAAUCACUUAACGCGUUAGCUUCGAUACUAAUCCGGCUAUGCCGGACUAACAUCCAGUGAUUAUCGUUUACGGCGUGGACUAC
rnacentral:misc_RNA from 1 species